GUGUUUGUAAAUUUCAGAGAUCACUGUGGUUGCUGCGUGGAAAUGGAUUUGAAUAGGUGAGGAAAGAAGGAAGCCGGGAGGCUACACCUGAGCCCAGGAAAGGAGAUGGUCUUUGCAUCUGUACAACUCAAGCCUUCAGCCCAGUGACUGCUCUGAUGUUUUGAUGCUACCGUUUUGACUCCACGGUCUUGUGGUUCAAAAGCCAAAUGCGGAAUAAAGAACCGAGGAGGGGGUACAGUUUGCUGUGGACGUCCUGGCCAGUUAUCCCCACACUUUUCUUGAAGGUGAAUGCUGGGGUGGAGACAACAACGAUGGAAGUAUAAGAGAUCUGGAAGUGCUGAAGAAGUGACUGAGUCACUAUUUGAAGCAGGGUGUGGCUUCUGUGGAGCCUUGGCUGGGGCCUGGACUACUGAACACCUGAAACAGAUUUCCAAAAUGAGAGCUGACAUUUACUGAGUGGCACGUAUCAGGCCCUGUAUGGAAACUUUCCAGCUGUUGUCUGAGUUCAUCCUCAUGGAAGUGCCAUGAAGCAGGAGCCGUUACCAUCUCUGCUAUGCACCUGAGAAAGUCAGGCUUGCGGAGGGUAAGUAGCUCUACCCAUGGUCAGCCGGUCACUAGCGAGCUAGAAUCUGAAUCUUAGCAUCCACGUGGCCACAGACAGUAAUCCGACUCCCAAACAUGGAAUGGGUUCUCCUUUUCUCUCCUAGAGUUCAAUGUAAGUCAAGGUCAGGAAAGUCCUGCAGAUAGAAAUAUCUGUUUUAAGACUUGCAUACAAAUAUGAGGAGUCUUUUCACAAAAUUGCCUAUCAGGAAAAAUCUAUGUGUAGAGUUAGA